AUAUUCCAAAAUUUUUAAUAAAUAAAAAUUCCGUAAUAUUAGCUUUUCUUUAAAUUCUUGUCUUAACUUAUUAAAUUCCGAUUAAUUAGUUAAAGACCGCUUAAAAUCAAAUCGAGUUUUCAAAAUUUAAAAAAAAAAAAAAAAAAUAUUCUUUGAUAAUCGAGAUUACUUAUUCACUAAGAAAGACCAUGAUUAGCGUCGAAAUGAUUUUGUGACGUUACGAUUAAAUUCUUAGACUUUUUCGAAAAAAAAAAAAAUCGAAAACCAGACGAUCGAACACCGCGAGACUUGUUUCGGCGUAUACCCGUACCGAUUCCUACACUCACCCACACUAGAAUAUUUUUCCUCCUCCUCUCCCCCUCUCUGCCAUCUCUCACCCGAGCACACCCCCCUCUCUCUUUUCUUCUCCUUUCCAGCCUAUUGCCCUGCAAAAGAAAAACCCAGCUGGCAACAGCUAUCUCCAGCUGCCACCAGCUAGCUCCAGCCGUCCACCACCACCUCUGCCAUUUCUCUCCUCUCCUCUCCAAACCUCUAUAAAUACCACCCUUCCCCUCUCCAUCCGAACCACAGCAAACUCAACCCUCUCUCACUCUUUUGUGUGUCCAUAAACCAGUAGAGAAGUUAGAAGAGAGAUCGAGUUCCGGCCAUGGCCGUUUAGAGAGAGAAACCGAGAGAUAAAAGUGGGUUUUCCACUUGCACCACCACUUAAUCCGAAUUACCACUUCCAAACAUCCAUAACCACCUCCAGCAACUCAGGACCCUCCUCCAAUACCCCAGAGCCGAGCCAAUCAGCCGUGCUCCGGUCGUUUCUCCGGCAAACCGAAAAUUUCAAAAAACUCGUUUAAAACUUGUUUUGAUCAAACCGAAGGUAUGUAUCUCUUCUCCCACUCUCCCUAAGUAUAAUAGAGUGGUUUUGAUGUGUAAAAAGGGCUUGAAAUGAGCCCGAACGAGAAAAAAAAAAAAACAGAAAGCUUACUGUUCGUUUUCUGUCAGAUUCACCAUUAUGAUAUUAUUUCUGGUCCUGACUAUCUAUUUGAUAUUAUUUAUGUAGAUGAUGACCCUUUUGAUAUUUAUUUUACAAUCUUUAUGAUAUUAUUAUUAUGAAAAACUACUGACUUGAUAUUAUUUUAUGACGGCAUAAUAUCAGUUUAGUAUAAAACGUGAUAAUUAUAUCACUUUGAUUUAUCUAAUAGAUUAAGUGGAUAAUUAGUAAUAUUUUUGUAAAAAAAAAGGGAUUUGGAUUAUAGGUAUGCUCAAAUUCCUCUUACUAAUUGAUAAAUACAAAUAAUAUGUAAAAAAAAAAAUAUUUUAAAUUAAUACUUUUAUUUAAUUUAAAAGAAAAGGAAAUUUGUAGAUAAAAAGUAUUUAUAAUAUUAGUUUAAUAUUAUUAGAAGUAAUAACCAUCCUUGUGAUAAUUAUUGUAAAAAAAAAAAUAAAAAUUUAUUUUAAACUAUUUAGUAAUAUGUGGAUUAUUUUAUAAAAUCGUAAUAAUUAUUAAUUUAUCAUUAAAGAUUAAAAUGGUAAUAAUUAUUAAUUUGUCAUUAAAGAUUAACAUGGUAAUAAUUAUUAAUUUGUUAUUAAAGAUUAAAAUAGUAAUAAUUAUUAAUUUGUGAUUAUAGAUAAUAAAAUUGUGGAAACGAAUUUCAUGGAUUUCAAUAAAGUCGUUAUUGCCUUAUUGUUACUACGUGAACGUAGAAAUUGAACAAUAGGUACCCCGGGUGGUAUUCAUACGUUGGAAUAAAUUGAUUAGACGUUAAAUCCCUAAGGAAAGUGAAAUUAUCGUUUAUAGUCACAAUUGUGACGUUACGGUCAGGAGAUAACCAGAGUGGCCGAGGACCGUGGGUUUCCUGAAAGAAUGGUCGUCGGUAUCGGCACUAGUGGUUUAAGACCGGUGGAUUAUCAUCUUGCGAACCCUGAAUAUGGCACUGUUGGAUUUAUCUUCCGGAUACUCCGGGGGUGGAUUUAUUGGAUGAAACCGGAGUAUGGGUAUCAUUUCUCGCGGUUGGUUGGUUAUCAUUCGCUCCUUGUGAUGGUACAGCCGAGUUCGACCCGACAUGUAGUUUGGUCUUAUUCGUCUGGGACCCCAGGCUGGGCAAGCAAGGGGAGGAUAAAUCGGCAGAGUCGCCAUAGUUCAGAGGUUGUUUGGGAGGAUUAUUUCUCAUGGUAGAGAAAUCUAGAAAUCACCUAAGAACAAGAUAAUUCAUAAUAUGCUCCUAAUUGCUGUAACUUUAUUAUUCAUGCUCAUUAUUAUAUUAAUGCUUGUAUGUAUCUCUUCUCCCACUCUCCCUAAGUAUAAUAGAGUGGUUUUGAUGUGUAAAAAGGGCUUGAAAUGAGCCCGAACGAGAAAAAAAAAAAAACAGAAAGCUUACUGUUCGUUUUCUGUCAGAUUCACCAUUAUGAUAUUAUUUCUGGUCCUGACUAUCUAUUUGAUAUUAUUUAUGUAGAUGAUGACCCUUUUGAUAUUUAUUUUACAAUCUUUAUGAUAUUAUUAUUAUGAAAAACUACUGACUUGAUAUUAUUUUAUGACGGCAUAAUAUCAGUUUAGUAUAAAACGUGAUAAUUAUAUCACUUUGAUUUAUCUAAUAGAUUAAGUGGAUAAUUAGUAAUAUUUUUGUAAAAAAAAAAGGGAUUUGGAUUAUAGGUAUGCUCAAAUUCCUCUUACUAAUUGAUAAAUACAAAUAAUAUGUAAAAAAAAAAAUAUUUUAAAUUAAUACUUUUAUUUAAUUUAAAAGAAAAGGAAAUUUGUAGAUAAAAAGUAUUUAUAAUAUUAGUUUAAUAUUAUUAGAAGUAAUAACCAUCCUUGUGAUAAUUAUUGUAAAAAAAAAAAUAAAAAUUUAUUUUAAACUAUUUAGUAAUAUGUGGAUUAUUUUAUAAAAUCGUAAUAAUUAUUAAUUUAUCAUUAAAGAUUAAAAUGGUAAUAAUUAUUAAUUUGUCAUUAAAGAUUAACAUGGUAAUAAUUAUUAAUUUGUUAUUAAAGAUUAAAAUAGUAAUAAUUAUUAAUUUGUGAUUAUAGAUAAUAAAAUUGUGGAAACGAAUUUCAUGGAUUUCAAUAAAGUCGUUAUUGCCUUAUUGUUACUACGUGAACGUAGAAAUUGAACAAUAGGUACCCCGGGUGGUAUUCAUACGUUGGAAUAAAUUGAUUAGACGUUAAAUCCCUAAGGAAAGUGAAAUUAUCGUUUAUAGUCACAAUUGUGACGUUACGGUCAGGAGAUAACCAGAGUGGCCGAGGACCGUGGGUUUCCUGAAAGAAUGGUCGUCGGUAUCGGCACUAGUGGUUUAAGACCGGUGGAUUAUCAUCUUGCGAACCCUGAAUAUGGCACUGUUGGAUUUAUCUUCCGGAUACUCCGGGGGUGGAUUUAUUGGAUGAAACCGGAGUAUGGGUAUCAUUUCUCGCGGUUGGUUGGUUAUCAUUCGCUCCUUGUGAUGGUACAGCCGAGUUCGACCCGACAUGUAGUUUGGUCUUAUUCGUCUGGGACCCCAGGCUGGGCAAGCAAGGGGAGGAUAAAUCGGCAGAGUCGCCAUAGUUCAGAGGUUGUUUGGGAGGAUUAUUUCUCAUGGUAGAGAAAUCUAGAAAUCACCUAAGAACAAGAUAAUUCAUAAUAUGCUCCUAAUUGCUGUAACUUUAUUAUUCAUGCUCAUUAUUAUAUUAAUGCUUGUAUGUUAUGGGUUAAUGGGUUUAGAGGUAUCUACUGGGUGAUUUUUCACUCACGGAUACAUUCGUAUCCUGGUAAAUCGGUUGCUUCGGCGAUCAAUUUGCCAGAAGCUGCAGGUAUCGAUGGCAUAGAAGAUCAGCCUUGCGAGCCAGAUCCGUACUAUUCAGGAGAGAUACCAGGGGCAGAGACUGAGCAAGAUUAUGCUUGGAAUCCAUAUCAGAACUAGAGUCGCUCUGAGUUAUUGCUCUGUGACGUCAUGUCACCCAAAGGCCUCCGUACAUGUGGGGUAGAGCAUAUUAAUGUCAACCUUAAGCUGUAAUAAGGAGAUAUUGUCCCGUAUUUUGUAAUAAAAAGAAUAUUAUUUAUGCUAAGUAUAAUAUAUUAAUGCUUCCGAAAUUCCUUGGAAAAUCGGGGCGUUACA